rnacentral:rRNA from 1 species
GACGAACGCUGGCGGCGUGCCUAACACAUGCAAGUCGAACGGAAAGGCGCUGCUUUUGUGGGGUGCUCGAGUGGCGAACGGGUGAGUAACACGCGAGUAACCUGCCCUUGACUGUGGGAUAACUUCAGGAAACUGGGGCUAAUACCGGGUAGGAGCUCCUGCUGCAUGGUGGUGGUUGGAAAGUUUCGGCGGUUGGGGAUGGACUCGCGGCUUAUCAGCUUGUUGGUGGGGUAGGGGCUUACCAAGGCUUUGACGGGUAGGCGGCCUGAGAGGGUGACCGGCCACAUUGGGACUGAGAUACGGACCAGACUGCUACGGGAGGCAGCAGUGGGGAAUAUUGCACAAUGGGCGGAAGCCUGAUGCAGCAACGCCGCGUGCGGGAUGACGGCCUUCGGGUUGUAAACCGCUUUCGCCUGUGACGAAGCGUGAGUGACGGUAAUGGGUAAAGAAGCAACGGCUAACUACGUG